rnacentral:rRNA from 1 species
ACGAACGCUGGCGGCGUGCCUAAUACAUGCAAGUCGAACGAACCGCGACUGAGUGCUUGCACUUGGUCAAGGUGAGUGGCGAACGGGUGAGUAACACGUGGGUAACCUACCUCAUAGUGGGGGAUAACAGUCGGAAACGACUGCUAAUACCGCAUAGGACAUGGAAUCACAUGAUUCUGUGAGGAAAGGUGGCGCAAGCUAUCGCUAAGAGAUGGACCCGCGGUGCAUUAGCUAGUUGGUAGGGUAAGGGCCUACCAAGGCGAUGAUGCAUAGCCGACCUGAGAGGGUGAUCGGCCACAUUGGGACUGAGACACGGCCCAAACUCCUACGGGAGGCAGCAGUAGGGAAUCUUCCGCAAUGGACGCAAGUCUGACGGAGCAACGCCGCGUGAGUGAAGAAGGUCUUCGGAUCGUAAAGCUCUGUUGUUAGAGAAGAACAGCGCAUAGAGUAACUGUUAUGCGUGUGACGGUAGCUAACCAGAAAGCCACGGCUAACUACGUG